rnacentral:rRNA from 1 species
CCUACGGGAGGCAGCAGUGAGGAAUAUUGGUCAAUGGGCGCGAGCCUGAACCAGCCAAGUAGCGUGAAGGAUGAAUGCCCUACGGGUUGUAAACUUCUUUUAUAAAGGAAUAAAGUGAGGCACGUGUGCCUUUUUGUAUGUCCUUUAUGAAUAAGGAUCGGCUAACUCCGUGCCAGCAGCCGCGGUAAUACGGAGGAUCCGAGCGUUAUCCGGGUUUAUUGGGUUUAAAGGGAGCGUAGAUGGGUUGUUAAGUCAGUCGUGAAAGUUUGCGGCGCAACCGUAAAAGUGCAAUUGAUACUGGCGGCCUUGAGUACAGUUGAGGUAGGCGGAAUUCGUGGUGUAGCGGUGAAAUGCUUAGAUAUCACGAAGAACUCCGAUUGCGAAGGCAGCUUACUAAACUGCCACUGACAUUGAUGCUCGAAAGUGUGGGUAUCAAACAGGAUUAGAUACCCGUGUAGUC